rnacentral:misc_RNA from 1 species
CCUCGUCGUCCAGGCCCCGG